UACGUAGGCAGCGAGCGUUGUUCGGAGUUACUGGGCGUAAAGCGUGCGUAGGCGGUGUCUUAAGUUUGUUGUGAAAUCUCCCGGCUUAACCGGGAGGGUGCGGCGAAUACUGAGAUGCUGGAGUGCCGGAGAGGUAAGCGGAAUUCCUGGUGUAGCGGUGAAAUGCGUAGAUAUCAGGAAGAACACCGACGGCGAAGGCAGCUCGCUGGGACGGUACUGACGCUGAGGCGCGAAAGCGUGGGGAGCGAACAGG
rnacentral:rRNA from 1 species